GCCUAAAGGGGCCGUAGCUUGAUAAUAGGGUCCCUUGAGAAAUCCGCCGGCUUAACUGGCGGGCGUUCAGGGGAAACUUGUUUUCUAGGGACCGGGAGAGGUGAGGGGUACUGUCGGGGUAGGAGUGAAAUCCUGUAAUCCCGGUGGGACCACCUAUGGCGAAGGCAUCUCACCAGAACGGGUCCGACAGUGAGGGACGAAAGCUGGGGGAGCAAACCGGAUUAGAUACCCGGGUAGUCCCAGCUGUAAACUAUGUGCGUUAGGUGUGUCAGUGACCACGUGUCACUGAGGUGCCGAAGGGAAACCGUGAAACGCACCGCCUGGGGAGUACGGUCGCAAGGCUGAAACUUAAAGGAAUUGGCGGGGGAGCACCACAACGGGUGGAGCCUGCGGUUUAAUCGGACUCAACGCCGGGAAUCUCACCGGAUAAGACAGCUGAAUGAUAGUCGGGAUGAAGACUCUACUUGACUAGCUGAGAGGAGGUGCAUGGCCGUCGUCAGUUCGUACUGUGAAGCAUCCUGUUUAGUCAGGCAACGAGCGAGACCCACGCGAGCAGUUGCCAGCUUGACCUUCGGGUUGAUGGGGACACUGCUCGGACCGCCUCUGCUAAAGGGGAGGAAGGACUGGGCAACGGUAGGUCAGCAUGCCCCGAAUUAUCCGGGCUACACGCGGGCUACAAUGGACAGGACAAUGAGUUUCGACACCGAGAGGUGAGGAUAAUCUUCUAACCCUGUCCCAAGUUCGGAUUGCGGGUUGUAACUCACCCGCAUGAAGCUGGAAUCCGUAGUAAUCGCGUUUCAACAUACCGCGGUGAAUAUGUCCCUGCUCCUUGCACACACCGCCCGUAA
rnacentral:rRNA from 1 species